rnacentral:lncRNA from 1 species
GCAUUGGAGCAGAGGUGUUUGCCGAGAUCUGGACUGUAGGGAGCAUGGCUAGUAAAACCUCAGGAGGAAGAGAACUGGGCAAAGCAGAGAUUUGCACCGUCUUAGCCGCCCUCUGAUCGUCCCACGUGGUUGCACACGGCGUGGGUACCCGGAAAUAAUCCUUUGCUGGAGUAAGUUUCCCCACCUGGUGUUGGUUAGGGUUUUGUACUCUGUCUCUUCCUGUCUGCAGUCAUUUCAUCAUCAUACUCUUAUUAUCUUGUCACCAGACUCUUACCUUUUUCUCUCCCCCCCCCCCCCCNNNNNNNNNNNCCCCCCCCCCCCGCAAUAGCGGUGCAGACCCGGGACGCUGCCUGGUACCAGCUGCUCACCGCCCCGCUCAGCGAGGACCAGAGGCGGGCGCUGCAAGAGGUGUACACCCUGGCCGAGCACCGGAGGACAGUCGCAGAGGCAAAGAAGAAGAUUGAACAACAGGGAGGCUUCACGUUUGAAAACAAAGGAGUCCUCUCCGCAUUUAACUUUGGGACUGUGCCCAGCAACAACUGAAAGAGGGAACGUCAGCCUACCAAAUGUCAUCGCUACACUUUACUUCACCAGGGGACUGGGAAGCUCAAGGGGAGGAGAAGAGUGGGCUGCUCUUCGGCCCCCUCCUGCUGUGCCAGUUCGCUCUGGCUUCAGGCAGCACUUCUAUCCACUCCCGCUUCCCCUUUGACCUUUCUCCCCCACGAAAUAUAUAUUCCACGCAGCUACUGUAAUGUAUGAAAUUCAAGGAAAACAAAAUCAGUGGACUGAAAAGGACAAAUCAUAUUCUCCAAAGGAUGAAUGACCAAGGUGGUUUUAGAGGAUUGAAUUGAAAUGCACGUCUCAGGUUUUUGCCAUGCAGAAUCAAUGGAUUUAUGCGGAUAACAGUGCCUUCUGUUGUACAUGAAUUAUCUGAAAAUUUUUUUGGAGUGCAUUGCAAUUUUUUUUAAAGCAUAAAACAUAUUUCUAGAUAUAAUGUAACCUUGGCUAUAUGUUGACUUAUUCUGCGUUUUACUAUGUGAAUUUACUGUUAGGCAGUUAGCUACAAGUCACGCUGGUUUCAAAAACAUCCCUGCUCCCCUCGCUCACCCUGUUGCUGGGGGCUGUCUUCAGGGGUUGUAAGAUAUGCACUGGCUCUGGUUUUUCAUCAGAUGUUUUGUGGCUUUCCUAAUAAGUGUCUUAUUCUCUCUUCCAUCAUAUUUUUGAGCCCUGAAAGAGGUGGUAUUUCUUUUGGAGCCAGCAAAUAGGAGUAUAAAUUUCAUUUAUAACCUGGUAAGUUCCAGACUCAAAAGUUUCUUGACAGCAAGUGGCAGGAGCUCUUUAGUCACUGGAAUUAACAAUAAGAGACCGAGAGUAUAUUCUGAAUCAUGUACUUAAUUAUGUAAUGAAUUGAUAAUUAUACUAAAGCACAUUGAACUCUUAUGAGAAGGGUGCUAUAUAAGCACGUGGUCUUUCUGGAUGGGGGCUUGCAUUUUCAACAACAUAUCAUUCCAGCUAUGUUGGACCUGGGUCCAAAACAUUUUCUAACAAAAUUUUUUAUCUAGGAUAAGGACCCAAAUGAAUUUAACUUCUAUUUCUCACACAUCUGAAUUUCCCCCUACCUAAUUCAUUCUAGCCUUUACUAUAGCUAAGUUCAGCUUGUUAUAUUUUUCACAGGUUGGGAUGUUGGUCAGCUGCACUCUUAGAUGGUAAUGAUACCUAUAGGAAAUAUUGCAGAUGGAGGUUCUGGCUCUUUUUCUGAACAAAUUCAAGACUAAAACAUGGAUCAUAGUGUUUUCAUACAGUAAAGUGAAAGUGUAUUUUCAAAACCUAAUGUAUUACUGGAUACGAUACAGUUUUCCAUUUUUGUGAAAUGUCUGCAGCUUAUAUUUCCCCUUAGUGACUGGAGGAAUUUUCUCCAGGUGCUUCCUAUAUUGCCAUCCCUUGUUAAUAUUAACUCUUUUUAGAAGUUUAGGUUAUUUAAAUAGUUUUUACAGAAGUAGCCUAAGAAGCCAUGAGUUUCAGAGUUAAAUGAUCCCUCACUUUCCUCUGUCCCUCUUCCCAAGGCAUUGAUGUUGAAUGUGCCAGCUGGCAGAAGAGAAAGAUGGCACUGGGGGACAUUUUAGUUAUCUUAAGCUUUGAAACUCUUCUUAUUCUCCCCAUGUCCAAAAUGGUUUAUUUUAACAUAAAUAAUAUGCCUUCACACUGGAUUGUAAAAGGCAUGUGAUUUUAUUUUUGUGAGGUAUUGUCUUCUGCAGUAUUAAAGGGAAAGAGAUGUUAAUGUGUAUCAUCCUAUCUUGUUUUUGAAGCCAGGGUAGUUGUAUAAUUUUGUUACCAGCAGUGCUAACCUGAAUGUGAUCUGGUUACCUUGGAAAUGCAGGAACUUAUAUGAAUGUACUGUAAAAUAAAACACGGACUGAUUCCCA